CUUAUAUGGAGAGUUUGAUCCUGGCUCAGGACGAACGCUGGCGGCGUGCCUAAUACAUGCAAGUCGAGCGGACAGAUGGGA
rnacentral:rRNA from 2 species